rnacentral:rRNA from 1 species
GAUGAACGCUGGCGGCGUGCCUAAUACAUGCAAGUCGAGCGAACAGACGAGGAGCUUGCUCCUCUGACGUUAGCGGCGGACGGGUGAGUAACACGUGGAUAACCUACCUAUAAGACUGGGAUAACUUCGGGAAACCGGAGCUAAUACCGGAUAAUAUAUUGAACCGCAUGGUUCAAUAGUGAAAGACGGUUUUGCUGUCACUUAUAGAUGGAUCAGCGCCGCAUUAGCUAGUUGGUAAGGUAACGGCUUACCAAGGCGACGAUGCGUAGCCGACCUGAGAGGGUGAUCAGCCACACUGGAACUGAGACACGGUCCAGACUCCUACGGGAGGCAGCAGUAGGGAAUCUUCCGCAAUGGGCGAAAGCCUGACGGAGCAACGCCGCGUGAGUGAUGAAGGUCUUCGGAUCGUAAAACUCUGUUAUUAGGGAAGAACAAAUGUGUAAGUAACUAUGCACGUCUUGACGGUACCUAAUCAGAAAGCCACGGCUAACUACGUG